rnacentral:rRNA from 1 species
AACGUAGGUUCCGAGCGUUAUCCGGAUUUACUGGGCGUAAAGCGCGUUCAGGCGGUUUGGCAAGUCGGGCAUGAAAUCCUUCGGCUCAACCGGGGGAGGUUGUCCGAUACUGCUGAACUGGAGGGCAGUAGAGGGUGGUGGAAUUCCGGGUGUAGUGGUGAAAUGCGUAGAGAUCCGGAGGAACCCCAGAGGCGAAGGCGGCGUCCUGGCUCACAACUGACGCUCAGACACGACAGCAUGGGGAGCGAACGGG